rnacentral:rRNA from 1 species
CAGUCGCCGCGGGAAUACGUAGGGUGCGAGCGUUAAUCGGAAUUACUGGGCGUAAAGCGUGCGCAGGCGGUUGUGUAAGACAGGUGUGAAAUCCCCGGGCUUAACCUGGGAACUGCGCUUGUGACUUCACAGCUAGAGUAUGGCAGAGGGGGGUGGAAUUCCACGUGUAGCAAUGAAAUGCGUAGAGAUGUGGAGGAACACCGAUGGCGUAGGCAGCCCCCUGGGCCAAUACUGACGCUCAUGCACGAAAGCGUGGGGAGCAAAUGGGAUUAGAUACCCCCGUAGUCCCUGUCUCUUAUAC